rnacentral:lncRNA from 1 species
CUCUCUCUGUAAAAGCUUCGUCGCCGCCGCCUCUGGUUGCUUCGAUUUACCGGUAAGUUUUCCGAUCUCAGCAAUAACAUACCGGAGAAGACCGUAAAUUUACACUGUAGUCGUCAAUUUCUCGGGUUUCUGUUUUUUCGCCGUCUCGAUCUGUCAUUUCUAGAGAUUUUUUUUUAAGGAAAUUAGGAAAAAAGGAAAAUAUUUCAAUUUGAUUUUUAGAUAUUUGAUUAGUUUUUACCAGAUC